rnacentral:lncRNA from 1 species
AAUAAAUGAAAUAAGAAAUAAAGAAAUAAGAAAAGGUUAUCUCGUAAUUAUUUGGUGUGAGGGGAAGUAUUAUACAAAAUGAAAUAAAUGAGUUAUGGAACAUGAUAAUUUUGAAAUUGAAAACUUUUACAAUUACCUGGUUGAUGGUUGUGUUGUUUUGGAAGUAGAGAAGAACGAUAAAUAGAUAGAUUGCAAAAGAAAGAUGAACAUAUAAAUAGGGUUGGGCAAAAAUAACUGAUUUGUACUGUGUUAACUGUAUUAUAUUACUAAAAAUAAUUUAUUCACUCUUACUAACCAUUUUAUGGUUCAGUUUUUAAAAACUGACAGUUACAGUUCAAUUAACUGUGAGAACGGUAUCUACUCUUGCAUCUUCUCUAGUUCCAGUCAAGAAAACUUUAUUUAAUAAUAAAAUA